CUCCUACAGGUCCUUUUGACUACAGAGGAAAGGCAACAAGUUCUCCUGGAGGCUUUCCAACCCAGCUCCCCAACGAAAUAGAUGAGGGGUUUCCCCUCACCCGCCCGGACUGGGACUAUGAAACGGCUCCAGGUAGGAGACUCCGUGUACGUCCGGCGGCACCGCUCUCAAGGAUUGGAGCCUCGUUGGAAGGGACCUUACAUCGUCCUGCUGACCACGCCCACCACCAUAAAGGUUGACGGGAUUGCCGCCUGGAUUCACGCAUCGCACGCCAAAGCAGCCCCAAAAACCCCUGGACCAGAAACUCCCAAAACCUGGAAGCUCCACCGUUCGGAGAACCCUCUUAAGAUAAGACUCUCCCGUGUCUGACUGCUAAUCCACCCUGUCCCUGCACGAACCCAAAAUGAAACCCCCAGCGGGAAUGGUCUUUCUGUGGGUCCUCACAAGCUUGGGGGCGGGAAUUGGAGCUAAAAUUGUCAAAGAGGGGAACCCACAUCAGGUUUACACCUUGACUUGACCUGUUGAUCUUACAAGAAGGCGGGUUAUGUGCUGCCCUCAAAGAAGAGUGCUGCUUCUAUGCUGAUCACACAGGGAUAAUAAGGGAUAGCAUGGCCAAGCUGAGGGAGAGACUCAAACAAAGGCAAAAGCUGUUCGAAUCUCAGCAAGGCUGGUUUGAGGGGUAGUAUAACAAAUCCCCCUGGUUUACCACUUUAGUCUCCUCCCUCAUGGGCCCCUUAAUACUCCUACUAUUAAUACUGAUGUUCGGACCCUGCAUCCUUAACCGCUUGGUACAGUUCAUAAGAGAAAGACUCUCUGUCAUCCAGGCCUUGGUUCUAACCCAACAGUACCACCAACUAAGACAAUUUGAUGCAGAAAGGCCAGAUACAAUUGAAUGAAAGGUUUCAUUCGAUGCCAAAAGAAAAUGGGGGAAUGAGAGACCCCUGGUCUAGCUUACUAAAACACCCCCACCCUACCUUCAACUUUGUAAACGCCUCACUCGCAGAGCCUGUACUCCCACUAGUUAACAAACAGGAUUUCUGCGGUUAGACAUCUGGACACCGGGGGAGCUGUACAGGCUGCUACAUAGAUAACCGCUUUCCUCUCGCUUCUGUAAUCUUGCUUACGCGCCCAACCAUAGUAAUCUUGCUUACGCGCCCAACCCUAACCGAAAGGUCCCUAGCCGCUUCGCAGCCCGGGCUCCAAGUUGCAUCAGCCAAAAGAAACUUCAUUUCCCAAGCUUCCCCGGGACGAAACUACCCACAACCCUAACCAUCACCGAGCAGAGAGCCUACCACCAGCCUGUAUGCAAAUAAGACUCAAAAUAGCAUAAAAGACCUGUGACCCCGUUUAUCGGGGCUCUCCCGCUUUCUAACACUGGGGAGCCCUGGUGCACCAGUAAAGACUCUCUGCCGACGUCGGAGUGUCGUGUGGUUCUUUGCGCCAACUCUCAUUCCAUAGGGCCUAGGAGCUUGGCUCCUAACAGCUCCUCGGAGCGGGGGCAGCUGGACGAGGUCGGUGGCCGAUGCAGCGAGUGGCCCCCAGUGUGUGAAGACGCGAACACGGGGCGGAACACGGAGAAGGAGCAGCUCUGCCCUCAGGUGCUCCGUGACGCACGGGGGCCCCAUCUCCGCACAGACGGCGCCAAACCCGGGGACAGGGGUGUCGUGCCGGCCUCACCCACCUGUCACUUCCAAGAAGGGGCUCUCGGGACACCCCCGUGCAGUGAUGGGUCGUCCGCUUCCGGACAGACCCUCCGAUUCCUCGACUGCACCUGGCGAGCAGGUACUCGGGUGCUCCGGGGUGCUCCUCCGAUCUGCACAGGUGCUCCAUGGGUGCUCCUACGAUGUGCAAAGGGCUCCUCAGGUGCUCCGCAGGUACUCGGGUGCUCCGGGGUGCUCCUCCGAUUUGCACAGGUGCUUCGCAGGUCCUCGGGGUGCUCUAUGGGUGCUCUGCAGGUGCUCCUCUGAUCUGCACAGGUGCUCCGCAGGUACUUGGGGUGUUCCGUGAGUGCUCCGUGGGUGCUCCGCAGGUACGCGGGGUGCUCCCGGGGUGCUCCGGAGUGCUCCUCCGAUCUGCACAGCUGCUCCGCAGGUACUUGGGGUGCUCUGUGAGUGCUCUGUGGGUGCUCAGUAGGUGCUCCUCUGAUCUGCACAGGUGCUCCGCAGGUGCUCCGCAGGUACGCGGGGUGCUCCCGGGGUGCUCCGGGGUGCUCCUCCGAUCUGCACAGGUGCUCCGUGGGUGCUCCACAGGGCUGCACGGGGCCUGCCCAGGCGCUCCCGCCCCGCUGCCACGUGUCGCCCAGGACAGCCGGAGCCCCGGGGCCGUGUUCACGGGCGGAGCCAACCCGCAGCCACAUCACAGGAAGGGCCCGUUCUCCUCACCCGGCUCCGCCUCCCUCCCUCAAUCCAGUAACUUCUGCCCCUCCACCUGCCGGGAGUUGGGCCGCCGCACACACCCCUCUGGGAAACCCAGCGGUGUCACCGAGGGUGCUGACGCUUGUUCCCUGGGCCCCAGGUCUCGGCGGACAGAGAGCUCUGGGUCCCACAUACAAGCGGAGACAGCUUUCUGCGCCACUCGUGUCACUCCGCACUGCGACAGCGAGCCUGCGCUGAAUUUCCGCUGAGGCUCACACGGCCCUCACGGAGAACUUCCAGAUCCUGGCCCUGCAGCAUAACGUAAGGGAGUUUCUAUUUCCAGGGCUCAUGGCAACAGAGCCAUCACUGGGUCACUUCUCCUUGCUGGCCUCACCACCCACGACGUGGCCCAGACUUCCCACAGUAUGUGCCUUCCUCCUCAGAAGCCAGGAAAAGCAUAUGAAAAGGUGCCACCAUAUGUC